CUGGCAGAGCUCCUGCGCCAUUCUCGCCAGCAAGGUCGUCUCCUCCAAGCACCAGCACUCCGAAAAACCCGGAAGCUCCGACAACCACGUCGCCGCCGUCAACGGCCACAAGACCUCCGUUGACCUCGACCUCGUCCCCAUCGAGAAGCUCUCCCCCUCCUCCGAUGACAAGCCCGCGUCCCCUCCUCCCAAGGCCCUCACCAUCACCGACCUCUCCCCGGCCCCCAUGCACGGCGCUCAGCUCCGCGUCGCUUACCAGGGCGUCCCCGGCGCGUACUCCGAAGCCGCCGCCGGGAAAGCCUACCCGAACUGCGAGGCCAUUCCCUG
rnacentral:lncRNA from 1 species